rnacentral:rRNA from 1 species
UACGGAGGAUGCAAGCGUUAUCCGGAAUGAUUGGGCGUAAAGGGUCCGCAGGUGGCAGUGUAAGUCUGCUGUCAAAGAAUGAGGCUUAACCUCAUCAAGGCAGUGGAAACUACACAGCUAGAGUACGGUCGGGGUAGAAGGAAUUCCUGGUGUAGCGGUGAAAUGCGUAGAUAUCCGGAGGAAUACCGGUGGCGAAGGCGGCAUCCUGGACCGGCAUUGACGCUGAGGAGCGAAAGCUAGGGGAGCAAACGGG